rnacentral:rRNA from 1 species
UACGUAGGGUGCGAGCGUUAAUCGGAAUACUGGGCGUAAAGCGUGCGCAGGCGGUGAUGUAAGACAGGUGUGAAAUCCCCGGGCUUAACCUGGGAACUGCAUUUGUGACUGCAUCGCUGGAGUGCGGCAGAGGGGAUGGAAUUCCGCGUGUAGCAGUGAAAUGCGUAGAUAUGCGGAGGAACACCGAUGGCGAAGGCAAUCCC